UAAACUAUUGGUGUAUUGCAUAACAGAUUUUUCCUUUUUUUCUAGAGGGAUUGCAGUCAAACGCUGGUUGGUGGUAACACAGAAGUUACUUCGUAGGCUGUGGUGGUAAACUGGUCUCUCGCAUACAGACAUCACCACAUAACAAUUCUGACAUUGCGUUAUUUUUAAAGACAUGGCCCAAAAAACUACUGCUGGAGCAUUGACGGAUAGUACCAGAGAAUACAGUCAGAUCAGAGAAUUGAUUAAUAGACUUCAAAGUGACUUGGGAUCUCAUACACCUCCAUUGCCUCAAAUUGUAGAAAAAGUAUGCUGGGUGGGAUGAAUGACAUGCUAACAAGGUGGGAGAUACCUCGUGUUAUCAGCACACAUUGAUAGAGCAGGUUUCCUAAAAAUUUAUUAACAGAUUGUUUUGUGAAUAUUGUCGGUUUAUUGGAGUAUUAAUAAUUUUUGAAUAGAGAAUACCAUGGAA